UACGUAGGGUGCAAGCGUUGUCCGGAAUUAUUGGGCGUAAAGAGCUCGUAGGCGGUUUGUUGCGUCGGCUGUGAAAUCCCGAGGCUCAACCUCGGGUCUGCAGUCGAUACGAGCAAACUAGAGUGUUGCAGGGGAGACUGGAAUUCCUGGUGUAGCGGUGAAAUGCGCAGAUAUCAGGAGGAACACCGGUGGCGAAGGCGGGUCUCUGGGCAACAAUUGACGCUGAGGAGCGAAGGCCAGGGGAGCGAACAGG
rnacentral:rRNA from 1 species